rnacentral:lncRNA from 1 species
GAGACCAAUUUAGGUUCAACAUUAUCGGGGAUGGGCCAGGGGAAGGGGGGAAAUUUUCUAAAUAAUUAGCCAUCUCCAAAAGGGGAUCAGGCUGCCUCCAAGGGGGCAUGUUUCUCCAUAAUGACAAUCUUCUGGCAUCGACUGGAAGACCCAGCUCCUGGGGAUGUGAUAAUGGAGACUACUUUCAGGUGCUCCCACAAGUUUAUCAAGAAGUGUCCACCUACCUUAUUGAUGAGCCUUUACUCUUUCCAUCUGAUGUCUCAUUGCCACAUGGAGGUUCUCAAACUUUGGGGCAGGAGGAUGUCAUCUUCAGCUUGUUAUGAAAACUGGCAAGUCUGAAUGGGCUACAAACUCCAAAAGAGUUUACAGUGUUAUAUCAUAUUCAGAUUAUUGUGUUCAAUUCUGAGGACCACUUUAUGCUAGAGCAUUGACCACCUGGAGAACAUCUAUCUAAAAGGCAAUGAAGAGGGGGCUCAAGAUCAUAUGGGGACUGAUUGAUGAAACUGAAGAUGGCCAGCCUGAAGAAGAGAAGCAAUGAUUAUUUUAAGGUCUGUCGUCUGUCAAGUAGCAGAGGGAUCAUACUUGUUCUGUUUGGUCCCAGAGGGUAGAACUAAGAACACCAACUGGCUCUUAUAGAGAAGUAGAUUUGGACUUAAAGCAAAAAGUAUUUUCUUAUUUAUUAAGGCUAUUCACAAGUAGGAUAGGCUGCUUUGAAUGUUUAGGUCUUGUCUGUACAUUCCUCAAGGACAUUUGUCUUCUUAUUGGCUAACACAUUGCCUUGAUCCUAGCAAGAAUUACCUAAAAUAUUCUUUUUGACUGACUGACUGGCUGUCUCAAGACUUUCUAAGCAUUGGAGUUCUUCAUGGAAAGGAUGAAUGGCUAUUUAUUGGUGAUGAUAUAAAGGGAAUUCCUUGUUCAGGGACAGGUUGGGUAGACUAGAUGAUCUCUGAAGUUCCUUCCAACUAUUUGAUUUUUGUGAUUCUGUCAUUCUCUGUUAUCCUUUACCUGUUAGUUUUUUUUCUUUAUUCUGCUGACAAAAGAAGUAUGGAUCUCUGUAGAGAGAAUUGUAGCCUAAUUUAAAAAAUUGAUUAUUGCUAAAUUGUAGAGUUAUCUGGAAGUUAGUCUUUUAUUAACAAGUCAUUUAAUAUUUAGGAGAUCUAACCUUUUGUUAAUAAAUAAUAUUUCCCUAAGAAAAAUUGUGACCA